GCUCCAGUGGUGCAGUUGGUUAGUGCACAGUACAUAUAUGGUAGUACUUGUGGAGCAGGUUGUGAGUUCAAACUUCACCUGAAGCA